rnacentral:rRNA from 1 species
UGCAAACUACGAAUACCGAAGAAUGUUAUCACGGGAGACACACGGCGGGUGCUAACGUCCGUCGUGAAGAGGGAAACAACCCAGACCGCCAGCUAAGGUCCCAAAGUCACAGUUAAGUGGGAAACGAUGUGGGAAGGCACAGACAGCCAGGAUGUUGGCUUAGAAGCAGCCAUCAUUUAAAGAAAGCGUAAUAGCUCACUGGUCGAGUCGGCCUGCGCGGAAGAUGUAACGGGGCUAAA